rnacentral:rRNA from 1 species
GCGCAGCAGGCGCGAAUUUUUCACAAUGGGGGAAACCCUGAUGGAGCGACGCCGCGUGGAGGAUGAAGGUAUUCGUAUCGUAAACUCCUGUCAAACGGGAACAAGAAAGUGAUAGUACCGUUAGAGGAAGAGACGGCUAACUCUGUGCCAGCAGCCGCGGUAAUACAGAGGUCUCAAGCGUUGUUCGGAUUCAUUGGGCGUAAAGGGUGCGCAGGCUGUGGGGUAAGUCGGAUGUGAAAUUUAGGGGCUCAACCCCUAAACUGCAUUCGAUACUGCUCCGCUAGAGGACUGUAGAGGAGAUUGGAAUUCACGGUGUAGCAGUGAAAUGCGUAGAUAUCGUGAGGAAGACCAGUGGCGAAGGCGAAUCUCUGGGCAGUUCCUGACGCUCAUGCACGAAGGCCAGGGGAGCAAACGGGAUUAGAU